AGGUAUUCUAAUUGAGAACAUGUGACGUGAAGGAUUUGUGUUAUCCAUUUCACCACCUAAAGUAAUGUUUAAAACUGAGAAUUCAACGAAGCUUGAGCCAAUUGAAGAAGUCACCAUAAAGGGCUUAAUUGGUUGCAGAAGUGUGUUUAGCAGUGAUACACGUGGAACUGGUUUUAUGCAUCUGGCAUUCUUAAGUGGGUGAAAACAAAGAUGGAGUGGGAAAACUUCCCCUUAUUCUAGUGGAAAAAAAAAGAAAAAUCCAAA